rnacentral:rRNA from 1 species
AGCGAACGCUGGCGGCAGGCCUAACACAUGCAAGUCGAACGAACUCUUCGGAGUUAGUGGCGGACGGGUGAGUAACACGUGGGAACGUGCCUUUAGGUUCGGAAUAACUCAGGGAAACUUGUGCUAAUACCGAAUGUGCCCUUCGGGGGAAAGAUUUAUCGCCUUUAGAGCGGCCCGCGUCUGAUUAGCUAGUUGGUGAGGUAAAGGCUCACCAAGGCGACGAUCAGUAGCUGGUCUGAGAGGAUGAUCAGCCACAUUGGGACUGAGACACGGCCCAAACUCCUACGGGAGGCAGCAGUGGGGAAUCUUGCGCAAUGGGCGAAAGCCUGACGCAGCCAUGCCGCGUGAAUGAUGAAGGUCUUAGGAUUGUAAAAUUCUUUCACCGGUGACGAUAAUGACGGUACCCGGAGAAGAAGCCCCGGCUAACUUCGUG